GUGGGUAGAGCAAUUCAACAGAAGGGGGAAAUGAAAAGAUGGUAUUUCCAUGUAGCCCUGAAAGAAGACCUUGGGAUCCUCCUCUCCUUGAAAAUAAAGGCUCCUGCUAAUUUUAACCAGAGUCAGAUCUGAAAAACCUGCAGUUGACUGUGAGUCACUGAUCCUCAGGGAAUAAGAGGUGGGAAAGUGGGAGCUGUGUGUGUGUGUGUGUGUGUGUGUGUGUGUGAGCGUGCACACGCACGUGUGCAUGCACUCUCAAGCUCAUGCACGUGUGUGCACACCAGUGUGUAUAAUCUCAACAGUGCCCAGAGCCUCGGAGAUCCUGGAACACUUCAGUAGCACAGGCCAGAUUCAUUAAAAACCCUGGCUACAGGCCAGCAGUUAAAAUUGAAGCAGCAUAUUUAUUGCAUUUUGUUCAAAUAAAUCUGAAAACGUGUGAAUCAUAUUCCUUGGAGAGGCUGGGAGAAGAAGUAAACAACAUCAGGCUAAUACUUACAAGCCGUGGCAGAGAGAGAACAAAGAUACAGAAGGUUGUGCCACCCCAGGAACUCUGCAAGAUGUUCGCCCUUCCAGCCCUGUGACCUUCUGACAAUCAUCACGGCCUGGGCAUGGGUUGCAUGUUUAGAAGCAAGUCGACGGUCACCUAAGAAGAGCAGGUAUGUAGCUGACAUAUUUGUAGGCCUUCCAAAAGAGUUCAUCCAAGUACUUUAUAUGUGGUUAAUGAGGUUAGAUUCUUAGACAAAGAUUUCAUAGUGAUAGGCGGGGCUUUGACACAGGUAUUAGCUACCAACCCAUAGAU
rnacentral:lncRNA from 1 species